UCUUGCCCUGCAGCAGAUACCGGGCAGUUCCUGGUUGGUAGUCAGGGCUCUUGUUCUCUCUGGUAUCAGCCAUUCCUCCAGCCUGCAGGAGUCAUGAAGAAAACCAGCAAUACGAGCCUUCUCCUGAAUGAGCCACCAAGGAUGGACAGGAAGGAGAUCAGCAGAAGAAUAUUAGACCUCACCUUGGAGAUCAUCUCCCUGCUGAGCGGAGAGGAGUACACAAUAGUGAAGAAGACAUCGGGGGACUGUGUGACUCCCAUCAUCCAUCUCCAGGAGUCAGGAGGGCGGAGC